rnacentral:lncRNA from 1 species
AGAAUCACUUAACCAUACAAUACUUACUGCCUUCAUAUAAUUGAUUACCCCAAUCGCAUAAUCGAUUAUCUAUCUUCUGACUAAUUCAAAUAUUGUCCAUAAUCGAUUAUUCAGGUUUAAUAAUCGAUUCUCAAACGGUCAGUAUUCGAAUUUUGUUACCGUUUGGCUCCUGCAACACUCACAUAAUCGAUUUUUUUCCUUCUGAGUACAAUUCAAAAGUCCUUAAUAAUCGAUUAUUUCGACUACAUAAUCGAUUAUGC